rnacentral:pre_miRNA from 1 species
GGGGGGAGGCCGGAUCCUGGGCUGGGUCCCGGCGCCCUGUGCUCCGGGGCCUGUGCUGUUGAAUUCGCGCCCCGCCCCUGCAGCCCCCU